CCCUUAGAUGUUCUGGGCUGCACGCGCGCUACACUGAUGCAUCCAGCGAGUUGUAACCUUGCUUGGUAAAGUUUGGUAAUCUGAGGCUAAUGUGCAUCGUGAUGGGAAUAGAGUUUUGCAACUAUUAGUCUUGAACGAGGAAUUCCUCGUAAGCACGAGUCAUCAGCUUGUGCUGAUUACGUCCCUGCCCUUUGUACACACCGCCCGUCGCUCCUACCGAUUGGAUGGUUUAGCGAGAGCCUUGGAUUGGAGCCCAGGUGGUCGGCAACGGCCGCUCGGGAUGCCGAGAAAUUGCUCCAGCUGACUCAUCUAGAGGAAGUAAAAGUCGUANCA
rnacentral:rRNA from 1 species